AGAAGUUCGGCUUGGUUUCUCGGUGCAUAAUUCCGGUAAAGUCAUUCGAGCUGUCGUUAUGGACGAUCAGAAUCGAACACAAGCGCCGGAGUCCUUUGAUGUAAUUCACGCGAGUUCCAAAUGCCUAAUUAUAGCGUUUCAACGCAAACGCUCCGAUGCAAAUGAUAAACAGGUCUGCUUGUUGUGGGCUAAAAGUGAUGCCGAAGGAGCUCUUCCCCCUGACUGCAAAGUUAUGUUCGCAAGCUACUGCGAUUCACCCAUAUAUUUUUUUAACAAAGGAGACUCUGUGUG